AACGAACGCUGGCGGCAGGCCUAACACAUGCAAGUCGAACGAGAAGCUAUCCUUCGGGGUAGUGGAAAGUGGCAGACGGGUGAGUAACGCGUGGGAAUUUACCCAGCUCUACGGAACAACUCAGGGAAACUUGAGCUAAUACCGUAUACGCCCUUUUGGGGAAAGAUUUAUCGGAGUUGGAUGAGCCCGCGUUUGAUUAGCUAGUUGGUGGGGUAAAGGCCUACCAAGGCGACGAUCAAUAGCUGGUCUGAGAGGAUGAUCAGCCACACUGGGACUGAGACACGGCCCAGACUCCUACGGGAGGCAGCAGUGGGGAAUAUUGGACAAUGGGCGCAAGCCUGAUCCAGCCAUGCCGCGUGAGUGAUGAAGGCCCUAGGGUUGUAAAGCUCUUUCAACGGUGAAGAUAAUGACGGUAACCGUAGAAGAAGCCCCGGCUAACUUCGUG
rnacentral:rRNA from 1 species